CUUUUUCUUUUAGCUACUCAAAAGAAUCCAAUCACCAUUUUGGUUAGAGAGCAGGAAGACUGUUGCCCCUGAAGGAAUUGCUAUAGAAGCUGUAGAGCAUGAGACUGAAAAACUGAUCUACAAGGUCUCAUUCAGAUAUAAAAAGAUAUAAUUGAAGAAGCAAGUGAAAUGGUGACUUCAGAAAAGACUGAAAGAUGAACUGAGAAGAAUUUUAAUUGGUUUUAAAUCUUCUGCUUUCAUAUUUGCUGUGCUAUUUAAUAUGCAUGACUAAUAAAUAUUUUAAAUACAGGAGUCUUAAAUUUCUGCAUCCUCAGCUCUCACUUAAGCCAAACAGCCUCUUCACACAUUGUACAUUAGCAAACACAUGUUUACCACCAGGUGUAAAUGCAGCAAGAAUGUGUAGCCAGUCUAUGCAACAUACAUAUGGCGGAAAGUACAAGUUUGUCAGGCAUGCACACUGGGUUGUAUCCAAACUCUGUUUUCUACUUGUGAUCAUACAAUGGGGGGGCGGGUGUCACAAAUUCUCUGGUCCCUUCCAGCCUUCACAUGCUGUUCCUGAG